AAUGAGGCAAGAAGACCCGCCGAAUUUUAAGCAUAUUAAUAAGCGGAGGAAAAGAAACUAACAAGGAUUCCCCCAGUAAGGGCGACUGAAGCGGGAAGAGCUCAAAGUGAAAAUCGGCUGGCCCAGCGGCCAGUCGAGUUGUAGUCUCGAGAGGCGCCGUCAGCGUGUGGCCCGGGUAGAAAUCUUUUGGAACAAGGUGUCACAGAGGGUGAGAACCCCGUCUCCGACCCGGAGUCCGCCGCGUACGACACGCCUUCCCAGAGUCGAGUUGUUUGGGAUUGCAACUCUAAAUGGGUGGUAAAUUUCAUCUAAAGCUAAAUAAGGGCGAGAGACCGAUAGCGAACAAGUACCGCGAGGGAAAGGUGAAAAGAACUUUGAAAAGAGAGUUAAAAAGUGCUUGAAAUUGCUAAGAAGGAAGC
rnacentral:rRNA from 1 species